rnacentral:rRNA from 1 species
GACGGAGGAUGCAAGCGUUAUCCGGAAUUAUUGGGCGUAAAGGGUACGUAGGCGGCUGGUCAAGUCUGGGGUCAAAGGCCACAGCUCAACUGUGGGAAGGCCCUGGAAACUGACAGGCUAGAGUGAGGUAGGGGUUGCGGGAAUUCCCGGUGUAGCGGUGAAAUGCGUAGAGAUCGGGAAGAACACCUGAGGCGGAAGCGCGCAACUGGGCCUCAACUGACACUGAGGGACGAAAGCUAGGGGAGCGAAUGGG